AAAAUGAGCAGUAAUUACAAAUGACUUACUGUAGCGGUCAUACGAUAUUGUAUUGUUUUCUUAAUGUAUUGAAACGCCUUUUCAGAGAAAUGGUUUGUUUAUUGUCGUAUGUGGUGUUGGACAAUUAUAUUGUAAUCAUGUUUUUCAAUGAUAACAUUGGGUCUGUCAAUGAUUAGGAGUAAUAGCGGCCCCUACUGUUCAAACCACUGAGCUGCACUGAAUGGGCAAUAUGCUGUGGUCAUGUGAUCAGGCCGACAGGUUGGAGGAAAAUAUGUAGGUUUGGAACUGCUGUGAGGAGCUGUGCGCAGUGUUUUGCCAAAGAAGAGCCUCCAGUUCGAUAUUAAAAUUGUAACGACUCCUAAAUUUCUGGUCAGAAGGCGCACACGGCUUCCUUCACCUUAUGGGCAAUUGUGCCAGUGCUGUGAUUCCCGAGAGGCACACCCUGGAAGGCAUGGUGAGGUGGAACGAAAGGCCCAUCUAGCUGUGGACGGUGUUGCCUGCGAGUAUUUAUUUAUUUAUUUUUCUUUGGUUGUUUGUGUUUUGUGUCUGUCUGUCUGUUUUUGUCUCCCCCUCUUUUGGGCUCUCCAUUCACAGGUGUACCUGAUUGGACGACGCACACACAUCAUGUACUUGAGUUAAAGUUGAGCUACCCAAGAAGUCCACAAGGAAGAGGCAGUUGACAGCAUGGUUGGAGGGAACCCCAGACUCAUGUAUGCUCCAGUGAAAGAGGAAGAGUAGUGGGACAAGCUACCGAUCAUGAGAUACCACAAUGUCAUCUAAGAGACAGAGAUAGAGAACCUGAAGAACUGUUCAAGGCCUUGGGUGUUGAAUUAUGGCAUUGGUGGACCGCACUAUGAUACCGGGGUAAGGAAGAAAUUUUAAUCAUCUGAUGUAAAGCGAUAAGCCUCUUCUGUCCACUAAAGCUGUUUUCACUACAACAGAAACUUGAUGAAAGCUCUGAUGGCUACAGGAUUGCAACCAUCAUGAUCUAUGUAAGGUUUUAUUUCUCCAUAUAGUGUCCACACCUCACAUGUUUUUCUGUCCAUAUAGAACCUACAUGAUGGCAAUUAGUCUUUUCUUUUAGAUCUGUGAAAUUUAAGCACAUUUAAAAUGUUCCUUCCUCCAUUACAGCUGAGUGAUGUCAGUGUUUCCCAACAUAGGCGCUUCACUGAAACCACAGAAGGUGAUUAAUUAUACUGAACCAUUACAGUAGGUUAACAGGUAAUAUUGUUUCUAGUGCAGCACAUGAAAAUACAAAGAAAUUUACAACAAACAUUAACAGAAGGAAGUCCAGUGUGGAUAUACAGUGCUCUUCUGAAGUAUGUAAGUUCCUCAAAAGUUCUCAUAAUUUUCCACACUACAAAUAUAUCAUUUAAUAAUUAGUAUCUUAAGCACAUGUUUGCAAUCAGCAUAUUCAUUUUAAAGUAAUUGUCAUUUUAAAUUGUAAUUGUAAAUGAAUUGUAAACACUUACAAGCUUUCUUGUUUGUCUUUGUUGCAUGAUGCUUGUGGACAUUUUUCAAGUAGUGCCACAGAUUCUCAAAGAUUAAGACUUUGGUUGUGUCCUUCUUUUCUGCUGAAGAAAAGUGUCAUAGCAUUAGACUGCCACCACCAUACUUCACCAUACUGACUUUAGGGAUGUUUCUUCUUAUAUUUCUCAUCAAAUGCUUACUGGGAGACAGUAAACAUUUUUGAAUGUUAUUUUGUAUACUGUCCUUCAUUCUUCACACUUUUUCUUCAGGUUCACAACUUGACAAAUUGCUUUUAAUGCCUACACAAAGUGCUGCUACUUUAAUGGUUCAUAGAUAAAAAAAAAUCAUUUUCAAUUAUAAGUGGAUGUGAUCCCCUGGAUUGUUCGGCUUUGACAAUUUAGUAUUUCAUAAUAAAUGCAAAAAUGAUACCUUUUAAGGGGUUUAACUAUUUAUUGAAAGCAUUGUAUAUUAUAUAGACCAAUGUUCCCAACCUGGCGCCCCAUUGCCCUGCAAAUUUUAGUUCCUUCCCUGCUUAAACUCACUAUUUAACUCUCAUGGUAAGGGGAUGUUAAUGAGCUAAUUGGUUAGAUCAGUUGUGUUGGGAACAGGACAAACACUACAAUGUGCAAAGCAGAGGCUUCCGGAACCAGGAUUAAGAAACACCGGAAUAGGUGAUGUAUUGUCCAUAUUAACCUGAUGUAGUUGGCCUGUGGUAUCUGUGCGAUCUGUUGCAUUUCUUUUUCAGGGUACUGCAGUGAUGUGGUACAAUCUCUUACGAAAUGGGCAAAUAGAUGAGCAGAGCCUACAUGCUGGAUGCCCUGUCUUUCGAGGAAGCAAGUGGAGUAAGCACCUCUGUUGGCAUUUAGUCUGUAACAUACUCUGAGUUGACAGUUUAUUAGAUAUGCUUACCUUCUACCCACAAUCUUUGGCCUGUUUAUAAGGAACCCCUUCUAUCCAGACUGAAGCCCAGUGGAAAAAGUAGAUAGAAACUAUACUUUUUGAAAUAUGAAAAUAUGUACUGUGUCAAAAUAUUAACCAAUUAGAAAUGGAGGUACAGAGCCUAAAGUGUUUAUAAUUAUACAUAUUUAAGUAUAUAAAAGUGAAAAUUAAUACAAUUAAUACCUUCACUCGGUUUAAUAACUCUGCCUUGACCUAACCCUUUUCAGCAAACUGGUUGGUAAACUUCAGAGCAUACAUAAUAUGAUACAUAACUCACAAUGCAAAGCAUGAUCACACUCUCAUCCUGUAGCUACACACUGUAUUCCUGCUCCUCAUCAUUCUCAGCAGUGUAGGAUAAAAGUGUGGUUCUAGCAAGGUAUGAAAUUGAUGUUUUGUCAAAAAAAAUUAUGAAUUGUGUUGGAAUGCUUCUUGCAAUAAGAAUAAUAAUUUCAGUAAUAAUCUGUAAAGCACAAAUCUUCCAAAAUAAAACAUAAGCAUAGUAACAAAAUAGUCACUUAGUCAACCCUAGAAUUACUGGCACCAUUCAUGAAAAUGAGCUAAUGUUAAUAUAUUAAAUAAACCAUACAUGCAAUGAGAGAGUGUUUUGUGUUGUGAAAAAGAUUCCUUUAAUAACAUAGCUUGAAAACAUACAUUUAAAAAAUAUUAGCCACAUAACCCAACUUCCCCCGGUGAGAAUAACAGCACUGAGUCACUUUCUGUAAUGCUUACAAGGUUGAAGAACACCUGUUGAGGGGUCUUAGACCAGUCCUCCAUACAGGACAUUUCCAGUUCCAUGAUUCUCAUAGGUCUUUGCUACUGCCUUCAGACCUUCUUCAAACCACACCAUAUGUUUUCAAUAGGGUUCAGAUCUGGAGACUGAGAGGAUCAUUGCAGAUCUUUGAAUUAAUGUCCUGCAACGAUUUCUUUGUGAUUUUGAUGUAUUUUUGGAAUUUCAGCCUUCUGGAAAAGGCAGACAGAUUUGGGGCUAAAAAUCUCCUGGUAUUUAGUAGAAUUAGUUAUGCUGUUUAUUUUUCCAUAUGGAAAAAGAUAUAUGGACAUAUAUUUUGUAUGUUUAAAAUACAUGUCAAAUACAUUGCAAUCCAUGCCAAACUACAUUCUAAACACUAAGGUAUUUCAAAGCAAAUUACCAUAUUAACCAAAUGUAUUUCAAAUAUUUUAAAAUUUUAAAAUACAAUUAUUUCGCCUAGAAAUGUACUAUAAAAAACAUGUAAAUGUAUUUAUCAGAUACAUUUGAAAAUGAAUGACCAUGGCCAAAACGCUUGGCUAAUGCACUUUACUGUUAUGAGCAUCUUUUGAAAUGAAUUUGUAUUUCACGAUGUUAACUUUAAAUAGCCAAUAAAUCUUUCAAAUAACAAAACACCACCAAAACAUCAAUGGCCCACCACCAUAUUAUAUGGUGGAUACCACGUGCUUGUUAUUGUAUGUGGUCCCUUUUUUUGCCAAACAUAACAAUGGUGUGUAUUUAUCGGAUCUGACAAUGUCGCAAAAUUCCAUUUGUAGUUCCAAUGACAUUCUUCUGCAAACCUCAGGUACUGCAUUUUAUGGCUUGCUCUCAGGAAAGUCUUCUUCAUGGAACUCUUUCAAAAAGUUUCUGGUCAUCUGACAGUGGAUUUUGAAAUUUGAAAACGCUGAGGUUCAAGUAAGCCGUGCAGUUCUGAAGCUGUGAUCUUUGGGUUCCCUUGGGUUUGAUUUUGCACUAAAAGUAGAGACCAACUAGUAAUUUUAUAAAGUUUACAGUGAUGAGUUUAGCACCUAGCAUGUGUUAUAAAACUUGAAUGACACACAAUGAUAGUUCAAAGAGUGCAAUGUUGUCCUUGAAGCAUGCCUUAAUAAAAAAAAAACUUUAGCUUCUAUAAUGGUCGUUUCAUGAGUAAUUUAUAUUAUUAUAUUAAUAAAUUAUCAUCUAACAUAAAACUCAAACAAAAAAUAUUUGUAAGAUGAAACUAUUUCUGUUGGCAGUGUGUACGUUCAUGACAAAGAUGACAAAGAGAAUAACAUAUAUUUUGGUUUUUGAUCAUCAAGAAUGAGCCAUAGAUGGCAAAGAUUAUGCUGAACAGUCACAAAUGCUUCCUGCAACUUUGAGAAUGCAUUUGCUGGUGAUAGGGCAAACAACAGAUACUGGUAUUAUCAAAAUAAAAGUGCUGUUAAAAUCAGCUUUUAAAACAUUAUGCCAUAAAAUAUUUUUCCCCAAGGAUGCAAAUGUAUUUGACUUCAUUUUAAAUGUUCUUUAGAGGUGCCAAUAUUUUUACACCAUCUGUUUUUGAAAGAAUGCACUGUUAUUAAAAUAUAACAAUGCUCUUGUAGGAAUUAUUUCUAUUAGAUACAGGGCUGAUACAUACAGAAGCCCUCUGGAUGUUUUCUUUUAUGCCAAAAAAAAAGAAAAUGAAACUGUUUUAUAAGUAAGAAUUGAAUAUUAUUUACCUAGUAUUCUAGUAAUGCUUAGGGCUCCUGUCAGUCACAGGCCCUUAGAAUCAUCCUAACUCCCCCAUUACAGCCCCUGGUUCCCCAUUACCUAAUAAAUUCACAACAAUAUAUAUACACAUAC